rnacentral:lncRNA from 1 species
UGCCCAUGUGACUGAUGGCCACACACCUCUCUGCAGGGGUGUGGUCGAACACCUGCUGUCCCAUGCAAGCAGAAGUCACUGCCCACCAGGUCACCAGGGUUCAAGGCUUGUGUUAGACCGGGUACCAGGCUGCCUGUGCACAACUCACAGCUCCACAAUGUACAAGUGGAUAUUUGAAGAGAGAAAGAAGACCUGAAAUUGAUGAGUUUUGUAAAAUGUGGAAGGAAAACAUGAUAAGAAUUGUAUAAGUUUUCAGUAAAAAGAGAUAAUUGAUAAUGAGAGUGGAAAGCCCUAACUGAAGUCCCAGUAGUUUCAUGAUGGCCAUUCUGUUUGCAGAGAAGUUCACCGAAAUGUGUAAAACUUGGAACUAGGCA